rnacentral:ncRNA from 2 species
GGGGGAGUACACGGGAGCCCGACCGGGCUGAGAGUGCGGCGAAGCCGCAGACCGUCUGACCUGAUCCGGGUAAUGCCGGCGAAGGAAGGUGAUGUGACGUGAUGG